ensembl:misc_RNA Metazoa_SRP Metazoan signal recognition particle RNA
GCCAGGUGUGGUGGCGCACAUCUGUAAUCCCAGCUACUCAGGAGGCUGAGGUAGGAGAAUCGCUUGAACCCAGGAAGCAGGGGUUGCAGUGAGCGGAGAUCGCACCACUGCACUCCAGCCUGGCUGACAGAGCAAGACUCUGUCUCAA